rnacentral:rRNA from 1 species
CCUACGGGAGGCAGCAGUGAGGAAUAUUGGUCAAUGGGCGGAAGCCUGAACCAGCCAAGUAGCGUGCAGGAUGACGGCCCUACGGGUUGUAAACUGCUUUUAUACGGGAAUAACGCGCCUUACGUGUAGGGCUUUGCAUGUACCGUAUGAAUAAGGACCGGCUAAUUCCGUGCCAGCAGCCGCGGUAAUACGGAAGGUCCGGGCGUUAUCCGGAUUUAUUGGGUUUAAAGGGAGCGUAGGCCGCAUGUCAAGCGUGCUGUGAAAUGUCCGGGCUCAACCCGGGCCUUGCAGCGCGAACUGGCUGUCGUGAGAUGUCGAGAGGUAUGCGGAAUGCGCAGUGUAGCGGUGAAAUGCUUAGAUAUUGCGCAGAACUCCGAUUGCGAAGGCAGCAUACCGGCGGCGAUCUGACGCUGAGGCACGAAAGCGUGGGUAUCGAACAGGAUUAGAUACCCUGGUAGUC